rnacentral:rRNA from 1 species
CACGUAGGGCGCAAGCGUUGUCCGGAAUUAUUGGGCGUAAAGAGCUCGUAGGCGGUUUGUUGCGUCGGCUGUGAAAUCCCGAGGCUCAACCUCGGGUCUGCAGUCGAUACGAGCAAACUAGAGUGUUGCAGGGGAGACUGGAAUUCCUGGUGUAGCGGUGAAAUGCGUAGAUAUCGUGAGGAAGACCAGUGGCGAAGGCGGAUCUCUGGACAGCUCCUGACGCUGAGGCGCGAAGGCUAGGGGAGCAAACGGG